AGCAGCCGCGGUAAUUCCAGCUCCAAUAGCGUAUAUUAAAGUUGUUGCAGUUAAAAAGCUCGUAGUUGAAUUUCGGGGUUAGUAGGCUGGUCGUGCCACUGGUAUGUACUGGUCUUACUGACUUCUCCUUUCUGAAGAACUGUAAUGCCAUUAAUUUGGUGUUGCAGGGAAUCAGGACUGUUACUUUGAAAAAUUAGAGUGUUUAAAGCAGGCUAACGCUUGAAUACAUUAGCAUGGAAUAAUGAAAUAGGACGUUCGAUCCUAUUUUGUUGGUUUCUAGGAUUGACGUAAUGAUUAAUAGGGAUAGUUGGGGGCAUUAGUAUUCAAUUGUCAGAGGUGAAAUUCUUGGAUUUAUUGAAGACUAACUACUGCGAAAGCAUUUGCCAAGGAUGUUUUCAUUAAUCAAGAACGAAAGUUAGGGGAUCGAAGACGAUCAGAUACCGUCGUAGUCUUAACCAUAAACUAUGCCGACUAGGGAUCGGAUGAUGUUAAUUUUUAAUGACUCAUUCGGCU
rnacentral:sRNA from 1 species